UCAAUAGUCUUGCUACUAGCAGAAUAGGUCUCACUACUAGCAAUGAUGUUGAAAGUGCUGUUCGAUUACUAUGCAAACAAAGACCUAAUGCCCAAAACAAAGAAGAGUUAAAUAAAUUAAUGGAGAUUACAAGAAUUCAUCGACGAUCAUGGAUCAACACAUCAUUCCCAUCAAUCACAGAAAUUGUAAACCAGUACUCGCAGUUACUAGACAUGCCAAAAUCAAAACACGAUUGUAUGUUGAGUCACAGAAAUACAAACUUAAAGUUCUGGAGUAUGCCAAAUCGAAGCUCUCAUUGAAUACUCUAAUGUUUUCCUUACCGAACUAGUUAGAUGAAGACAAGAAAAGUGAACCUGCGGUUGAAUGUCUUGCUUGGCUUCUCCCUACCCCACCACAAAAAUCAGUUAAAAGGGCUUAUUUGCUACUGAAUGUGGUUAUACAAAAUCUUUUCUUUGACUUCAAGGAUGACACAGUUGACUGUGCACUAAAGACACUGAAGGAUCGCGGGGUUAAACAAACGAUGCUGUUGCGCAUAUCUGAAGGAUAUUAUAUAAAGGUUAACAACACAGUUAUAACACUGCCUUGUUGCAGCUGCUUUAUGGAGGCAUUGGAGUUUUUAUUUGUCUUUUUAUGUUUUCGCCGUGGAAUAUCUGACCAAAUUAAGAUUUUUUUAAUGGAUUUUUGGAGAAAGUCAUGGGACUGAAAUGUACUGUGAAAAGUUCGACCGUUGCUGAUUUGUUUACAAACAUAACUUUUCUUACAAAUGUAUAAAUCUCUUUAAAUCCCAGAUGGGUUUAAAUAUGCUUUA